rnacentral:rRNA from 1 species
UGUUUCGGCUAGGGGGCCAUCCCGGCUUACCAACCCGAUGCAAACUGCGAAUACCGGAGAAUGUUAUCACGGGAGACACACGGCGGGUGCUAACGUCCGUCGUGAAGAGGGAAACAACCCAGACCGCCAGCUAAGGUCCCAAAGUCAUGGUUAAGUGGGAAACGAUGUGGGAAGGCCCAGACAGCCAGGAUGUUGGCUUAGAAGCAGCCAUCAUUUAAAGAAAGCGUAAUAGCUCACUGGUCGAGUCGGCCUGCGCGGAAGAUGUAACGGGGCUAAACCAUGCACCGAAGCUGCGGCAGCGACACUGUGUGUUGUUGGGUAGGGGAGCGUUCUGUAAGCCUGUGAAGGUGGCCUGUGAGGGUUGCUGGAGGUAUCAGAAGUGCGAAUGCUGACAUAAGUAACGAUAAAGCGGGUGAAAAGCCCGCUCGCCGGAAGACCAAGGGUUCCUGUCCAACGUUAAUCGGGGCAGGGUGAGUCGACCCCUAAGGCGAGGCCGAAAGGCGUAGUCGAUGGGAAACAGGUUAAUAUUCCUGUACUUGGUGUUACUGCGAAGGGGGGACGGAGAAGGCUAUGUUGGCCGGGCGACGGUUGUCCCGGUUUAAGCGUGUAGGCUGGUUUUCCAGGCAAAUCCGGAAAAUCAAGGCUGAGGCGUGACGACGAGGCACUACGGUGCUGAAGCAACAAAUGCCCUGCUUCCAGGAAAAGCCUCUAAGCAUCAGGUAACAUCAAAUCGUACCCCAAACCGACACAGGUGGUCAGGUAGAGAAUACCAAGGCGCUUGAGAGAACUCGGGUGAAGGAACUAGGCAAAAUGGUGCCGUAACUUCGGGAGAAGGCACGCUGACACGUAGGUGAAGUGAUUUACUCAUGGAGCUGAAGUCAGUCGAAGAUACCAGCUGGCUGCAACUGUUUAUUAAAAACACAGCACUGUGCAAACACGAAAGUGGACGUAUACGGUGUGACGCCUGCCCGGUGCCGGAAGGUUAAUUGAUGGGGUCAGCGCAAGCGAAGCUCCUGAUCGAAGCCCCGGUAAACGGCGGCCGUAACUAUAACGGUCCUAAGGUAGCGAAAUUCCUUGUCGGGUAAGUUCCGACCUGCACGAAUGGCGUAAUGAUGGCCAGGCUGUCUCCACCCGAGACUCAGUGAAAUUGAACUCGCUGUGAAGAUGCAGUGUACCCGCGGCAAGACGGAAAGACCCCGUGAACCUUUACUAUAGCUUGACACUGAACAUUGAGCCUUGAUGUGUAGGAUAGGUGGGAGGCUUUGAAGUGUGGACGCCAGUCUGCAUGGAGCCGACCUUGAAAUACCACCCUUUAAUGUUUGAUGUUCUAACGUGGACCCGUAAUCCGGGUUGCGGACAGUGUCUGGUGGGUAGUUUGACUGGGGCGGUCUCCUCCUAAAGAGUAACGGAGGAGCACGAAGGUUGGCUAAUCCUGGUCGGACAUCAGGAGGUUAGUGCAAUGGCAUAAGCCAGCUUGACUGCGAGCGUGACGGCGCGAGCAGGUGCGAAAGCAGGUCAUAGUGAUCCGGUGGUUCUGAAUGGAAGGGCCAUCGCUCAACGGAUAAAAGGUACUCCGGGGAUAACAGGCUGAUACCGCCCAAGAGUUCAUAUCGACGGCGGUGUUUGGCACCUCGAUGUCGGCUCAUCACAUCCUGGGGCUGAAGUAGGUCCCAAGGGUAUGGCUGUUCGCCAUUUAAAGUGGUACGCGAGCUGGGUUUAGAACGUCGUGAGACAGUUCGGUCCCUAUCUGCCGUGGGCGCUGGAGAACUGAGGGGGGCUGCUCCUAGUACGAGAGGACCGGAGUGGACGCAUCACUGGUGUUCGGGUUGUCAUGCCAAUGGCACUGCCCGGUAGCUAAAUGCGGAAGAGAUAAGUGCUGAAAGCAUCUAAGCACGAAACUUGCCCCGAGAUGAGUUCUCCCUGAGACUUAGAGUCUCCUGAAGGAACGUUGAAGACGACG